GGAUGCUGGUGAGAGAGCUGGCAGUGUUAAACACACAGAUUUGCAAGAUUGAGCAGCACAUUUUCAUCUCUCGUGCUGGCAUGAUGGUAUUGGAUGAACUGUCCUCUCAGCUUGAAGAGGUAGCCAUUCAUCUGCAGUACGUUGAUGAGGAGGUUCGGCAGCAGCCCUGUCUGGCUUUAAUCCCUUGGUCUGGACCUCUGUGGGUUUCAAACGCUCCUGUCAAACUGCAGCCAAUUUAUUAUCUUACCCACGCUGGGAGGAUGCUGGUGAGAGAGAUGGCAAUGUUAAACACACAGAUUUUCACAAUGGAGCAGCCCAUUAUCAUCAGUUUCACUCCUGCUAGGAGGAUCGUAUGGGAGGAACUGUCCUCUCAAAAUGAACAGUAUGUGGAUGAGGAGGUUGGGCACCGGUCCUGUCUGGCUUUAAUCCCUUGGUCUGGACCCUUGUGUGUUCCUAUCUUUCCUGUCUUCUCCAAGGCCAAACCAGUCUACUACCUCACUCGUGCUGGGAGAAUGCUGGUAACAGAGCUUGCAGUGUUAAACACACAGACUUCCAAAUUGGUUAUUGAGGAGCCUACCAUUCACCUCACUGAAGCUGGGAGGCUAGUGCUUGACGAACUGUCAGCACCUUCAGAUAGCCAUUCACAGCCAAAUAGGGAAGACUCUGGUUUUCCCUAUGAGAAGUUGCAGCUGGUUGGGAACUGGGGUUCGUUUCAUUUCCAUUACUGGAAGAUCCAUUAUAGACGAGUGCAGCAAAAUGAAGAGGACAUGCAUCACCUGUGCAUUGUGAGGGGAGUGGAGAAGCAGCUGUGGUGGAGCAGAGUCAUCCAGGAAAAAAUCCUGGACCCAUGGGGUCUCGUCCAGGUGGUCCUCACCAACAACAAGGUGACUGGUAUUAAGUUCCUUGGUAGAAGGAUCCAUGGACUCAUGUCCUGCCUCGUCAAGAGGAGGUCUGAGUUCACCUAUUAUGAGGAUGCCCAGCAGGUGGAUAUCUCCACCACAGUGGAGGGGUACCAGGAGAGGGGGGAUGAGAUGAUGGCAUAUCAGUUCUCCACCUCUGACAUCAUCACCACCCCUCAUGAGCCGUCCUCUGGCUCCUCUCACCAGUUCCCCCAGAAUUCUCCGCCUCCCCCCUUUCCCUUCCGAUUCCCCUCCCAGUCCCCCUCCACCUUACCACUCCACCCAGGACCAGGACCAGACCCCUGACAGCACUCCUCAGGAGUUUGAGGAGGAGUUUGUGGAGGAGCAAAAUAAUGCUGCAGAUGUGCCCCAGUUGCGGCGUUACUUUGAAAACCAAGGGACAACCAACUU